GUGGGGAAUAUUGGGCAAUGGGCGCAAGCCUGACCCAGCAACGCCGCGUGAAGGAAGAAGGCUUUCGGGUUGUAAACUUCUUUUACCAGGGACGAAACAAAUGACGGUACCUGGUGAAUAAGCCACGGCUAACUACGUGCCAGCAGCCGCGGUAAUACGUAGGUGGCGAGCGUUAUCCGGAUUUAUUGGGUGUAAAGGGCGUGUAGGCGGGACAGCAAGUCAGAUGUGAAAACCAGAGGCUCAACCUCUGGCCUGCAUUUGAAACUGUUGUUCUUGAGUGUCGGAGAGGUAAUCGGAAUUCCGUGUGUAGCGGUGAAAUGCGUAGAUAUACGGAGGAACACCAGUGGCGAAGGCGGAUUACUGGACGAUAACUGACGCUGAGGCGCGAAAGCGUGGGGAGCAAACAGGAUUAGAAACCCGGGUAGUCC
rnacentral:rRNA from 1 species